rnacentral:rRNA from 1 species
UCAGCUCGGGUACUCCGAAUGCNCUAGAUUUUAGUUUGAUCAUGGCUCAGAACUCAACGCUGUGCGGCGUGCCUAACACAUGCAAGUCGAACGAGAAAGCGGAGGCAACUUUCUCCCUUGGCGCCUUUGGCNCAAAGGGUUUUUAACAAGCCAGCGGGUUUGGUUGGGGCCCCUCUGGNGCAAAAACCCGCCCCCCCUGGGGUUGUGGGCGUCUGGGGGGAUUUUUUUGNGGACAAAAACCCGGGUUUUUUUAUACAAAAAANCGCCCCCGNCUGAAAAAACCCCCUGGGGGGCUGUUUUUUUGGGGCGAGAAAAAAGCCCCCCCGGUUUUUUUAUANAAAAUAGCNCCCCCACCCCCUUUUUGGGGCCCACCCCCCCCCUUUUUUGGGGGGGGAGAAAAAAAAGGGGGGAGGAAAANUUUUUUUUGGGGGGGGAGAGGGGGAAGGGGGGGGAGAGGGGGGGGGGG